UCAAUGGACGAACAUGGAAAACUCAAACCUGGCAUCUAGUGUGCAUCAUAUGUGCUGAUUAAUGAAUGUUUGUGGGGGUGUAGAGAGAUUAAUUGUUUUGAUUGAGAGUUAUUGAUGUGUGAGUUGGGAGAAAAAUACAUUAAAAUUCGAAAAUUUUGAGUUGAAGUUGAGGGCCCCUGGCUUAGGGACACCUAGGGAAAGUUUGAAAGAUAGGAGAGAGUAGUCACGCACGACGCUCAGUGCCUUAUUGAGGGGGCGAUGAGCAUGACUUUCUACAGAAUUAUUUUAAGUGAAUUGGGCUCAGCAUGAGUAAGGCCCAUUGCACUCUUUUAACCCCAUAGGGUUCGCCCAAACUUUUCACUUCUGUUUUCCCAAUCUCCAGCUACACUAAACCCUCUUCUAAAGAGCUCUCUCACUUUCCUCCUUCAUUCUCAUACUAAAACAUCAUCCUUUGACCCAUUUUGCUUCACUCCAAUCACCAAGUUUGGUGUUUUUAUGUACUAGGGCUACUAGGAUUUGCACAAGUUUGUGAUUUCCCCCAAUUUUCUUGAGCAUUUUUCACAGAUCUCCAC
rnacentral:lncRNA from 1 species